GGAAUAUUGGACAAUGGGCGAAAGCCUGAUCCAGCCAUGCCGCGUGUGUGAAGAAGGUCUUCGGAUUGUAAAGCACUUUAAGUUGGGAGGAAGGGUAGUAACUUAAUACGUUGCUAUUUUGACGUUACCGACAGAAGAAGCACCGGCUAACUCCGUGCCAGCAGCCGCGGUAAUACGUAGGGUGCAAGCGUUAAUCGGAAUUACUGGGCGUAAGGCGCGCGUAGGCGGUUUGGUAAGUCGGUUGUGAAAGCCCCGGGCUUAACCUGGGAAUUGCAGUCGAUACUGCCUGACUAGAGUAUGGUAGAGGGAAGUGGAAUUUCCGGUGUAGCGGUGAAAUGCGUAGAUAUCGGAAGGAACACCAGUGGCGAAGGCGACUUCCUGGGCCAAUACUGACGCUGAGGUGCGAAAGCGUGGGGAGCAAAC
rnacentral:rRNA from 1 species